GGUGGGAGACAAGAUGGCUGUCGAAAAAGCUGGAAAACAGUGAAGUCGCCAAAAAUAUUAGAAUUCCACGAAAUUCUUGAUACAUUCAAACACAAAUGGCUAACUUACUAGUGUACGUUGCUAUCCUAGUUCCUGUCCUGUGGAUUUUGUCCCGGGUCUUAGCAGCCCUUCUAUCCAAACUUCUGUCAAGCAAACUGAAGGCAGACGUGAACAUUGAAGGCAUCGGGUUCUUCUCACUGUGGGGCAUUUCUGUCCAUUCCAAGAAGGGACGCUUUGACAUUGACCAAAUAUGGGUGUCCUGUAAGGUGUUCAAACCAGAGCUCAC